rnacentral:rRNA from 1 species
UAAGGAAUAUUGGUCAAUGGACGCAAGUCUGAACCAGCCAUGCCGCGUGAAGGAUGAAGGUCCUCUGGAUUGUAAACUUCUUUUGAUGGGGAAGAAACCCUGGUUUUCUAACUAGGUUGACGGUACCCAUGGAAUAAGCACCGGCUAACUCCGUGCCAGCAGCCGCGGUAAUACGGAGGGUGCAAGCGUUAUCCGGAUUCACUGGGUUUAAAGGGUGCGUAGGCGGGCAGGUAAGUCAGUGGUGAAAUCCCCGAGCUUAACUUGGGAACUGCCAUUGAUACUAUCUGUCUUGAAUGUUGUGGAGGUCAGCGGAAUAUGUCAUGUAGCGGUGAAAUGCUUAGAUAUGACAUAGAACACCGAUUGCGAAGGCAGCUGGCUACACAAAUAUUGACGCUGAGGC